rnacentral:rRNA from 1 species
AUUGAACGCUGGCGGCAGGCCUAACACAUGCAAGUCGCGCGGAGCGGCGGACGGGUGAGUAAUGCCUAGGGAUCUGACUGGUAGUGGGGGAUAACGUCCGGAAAAGGGCGGUAAUACAGCAUAGUAUCAGAGGAGCCGAGGGGGGAUUGGCGAGUUGGUGGGGUAAAGGAGUACCAGGGCGACGAACCGUAACUGGUCUGGGAGGAUGAUCAGUCACACUGGAACUGAGACACGGUCAAACAUCCUACGGGAGGAAGCAGUGGGGAAGAUUGGACAAUGGGCGAAAGCCUGAUCCAGCCAUGCCGCGUGUGUGAAGAAGGUCUGCGGAUUGUAAAGCACUUGAAGUUGGGAGGCGUUACCAACAGAAUAAGCACCGGCUAACUUCGUGCCAGCCGCCGCGGUAAUAC